GCCCAGACUCCUACGGGAGGCAGCAGUGAGGAAUAUUGGUCAAUGGCCGCAGGGCUGAACCAGCCAAGUCGCGUGAGGGAUGACGGUCCUAUGGAUUGUAAACCUCUUUUGUCAGGGAGCAAAGGGCGCCACGUGUCGCGUUUUGCGAGUACCUGAAGAAAAAGCAUCGGCUAACUCCGUGCCAGCAGCCGCGGUAAUACGGAGGAUGCGAGCGUUAUCCGGAUUUAUUGGGUUUAAAGGGUGCGCAGGCGGAAUGUCAAGUCAGGGGUAAAAUGUCGGGGCUCAACCCCGUCGUGCCGUUGAAACUGGCGUUCUUGAGUGGGCGAGGAGUGUGCGGAAUGCGUGGUGGAGCGGUGAAAUGCAGAGAUA
rnacentral:rRNA from 1 species